rnacentral:lncRNA from 1 species
AGUCGAUGUAAAGUUUAUCUUAUAAGGUAUGCUCGACCAUAGCAUCAAAUAUUCAUGCAAUCAUUUUAAUCAGAACUUUGCAAGAGAUAGUGUGUCUAUUGCAACCCUCGAAAUUAUGAUAGACUGCAAGGAUAUUGCAGUUGUAUGAGUGCCUGAAAUGUCCUCUGGUGCUUGUUUAAUGAUACAAUGCAAGGACGGGAUACAAGUAACUCCUAGUGACUGAAGGUCUGUUCGGUUUUGGUCUUGUAUUAUUGCCGGGAUCCAACAGUGCGAGUCCAUUGAUAUGGCUCAUGCAUGUGCAUUUCAACAGCCUGACUGCAUUCUGCUUUCAACUUGUGCAAUGCCGUGAGGGGGUGCUCGGUUUUGCAUUUAAGAUAUUGCUCGAACAAUAUCAUGGCCAUCAGAAAAGCGUAUUUGGAAUAUUAAGAUUGGAGCUCUAAAAUAGCAGCUCCGGCAAGUCCAUGACAAAUAGCCACUAGUAUACCACCAUGUGACUUGUAAAUGUCUAGGAGUGGACAAGAAAUGAUUUUCAUCUAUGGUGGUUGGCACUGGAUAUAGAAGUUUCCUCCAUUUAAUUGCUGCAAUACCAUAUUUGUAUAUCAGUAAGUCAUAAUAACCAUUAUUUUUAAAGGACUUUCUAAGUAAUAGAAAAGCUGACGAGGAGGCCAUCUAGUGCCUAGGUGAGCCCUUAGAGCACAAGGUGGCCCAAAAAUAAUAUAUUAAAACUAUUAAAAUGAAGAGAAAUUUUACAAUGAAACAUAUAAUAUCAAAUUAUAUGUAGUUUGUGUAGUGGAAGUGUCAACUUUGGCAGCAUCCAAUACUAAUAAUGUAAUGUUAUUUUCCAUCCUUAAAUAUGGUACAAAAUAUCAAGAU